rnacentral:lncRNA from 1 species
CUCUUUCUUCCCGAGUCUCGGCCAGGUCUGAGGUGAAGCAGGAAGGCCCCAUACGGGGUGGCUAGGAAUGCCCUGUGUGGACUCCCAGGGGUCCAGUGACUUCCCUAAGACCACCAGGCAAGGUGGGGGUAGACCGAGUCCCAGUUCCUUCUGCCCACACUGUGUGCAAACCCUCUACUUCUGCCCACAAGGGCUAUAAUCUCCUAUCCCUUGAUGGUCUCAAUGACCUCUGCCCAGAUUUCUGAUGGGAAAACCAAGGGACGGAGAAGAAAAGCGACUUGCCCAUGUCUCAUGGCCCCAGGAACUCAAAAUCGAGGCGAGAUCUUUCUCAUCCGGGCUGCUUCUCCCAGCCCAAGAACAAAGCUGGACACGACAGGCUCAGGGGGAAAGAAGUGAGAGGAAGGCUGGAGCAGAGGAAGCGAGAACCCUCCAGAGAUGCGGAGCUGGACAGUUUUGCAGCUGUGCUGGUACCUGGAGCCUGGGCAGGCUGGGAGUCCUGCUUAACCCCACAGCCUGCAUGCUGGCACCAAGUGGGGGUCAAACCUAGGGCCUUCUGCUCCCAGGACAUAAGUCCCCCUCACUAUUCGGAUCUGCUGGAAGAACCAGAAUCCCAGCAGAAGUGCUGAGUCAUGUGGGGGAGUUUGCUGGCAUAACUUCUCCCCACCUGCACCCAAGGCAUUGUUGAGAAAAGAAAGUCUGCUGCCACCUAAGAGACCCAGAAUCAGAACAACGGUGUGAUCUGAACAAGAUGAAGGGGUGGUUUCAUGAUAAGAAUAAACUACAAGCUUCUUCUGCUCCUUCUAGAGAUGCUCAAGAAGACUAUGGGAUAAAGCCACUUAUCUCAACUGAUAAAGGUAUAGAGCUGAGGAUGCCUGAUCUUUGCUUACUGCUCCCCUGGCCCCAUCCUAAAGAAGGGCCCCACCAGUGAACUUAUGGACCCAUGGAACCAUUCCCACUGAGCAAGAAAUAUGGCAAUGAAUCAUCACAGCAAGAAAAAAAAAAAGGGGGCAGGGGGGCCAGCUAGAUCAUUUACCAAGGGAAUACUGUCUGGAUAAUGAUGUUCAAAUCAUGUGCUGCUUGGUGGGAACGAGAAGACACUGGCUCCUUCACAGGCAACCCUGGCCAAGAUGCAGACACAAAUAAGGAGUUUCAGCAUGGUUUGCCCUGCACUGAGAUGUUUUCUCUCCCGCAGAAGGUUAUGUUGAUGAGUGUGUACAAAGUGCAGGGUCAAGCCUGCUCUGACAAGAGGCAAUGGCUUUGGAAGCCAUUUAAUGGAGGCAUAUUUAGGAGUGGAGUUUCUUCCUCUUCUGUUCUUGCUCUCCCUUCUUAGAGUGCCUUUUAGACUGAACUUCUCCAGCUACUGCUCAUCAUGGUGAGAGCCAGGUGUAGAAAGGUUACCUUAUCACCAUCAACGCAAUAUUCCCUUUCAUUUUUGCCUCCUGGAGGCUGAAAAAUGGCCUAGAUUCCAAGAAAGUGAAAAAAAGAGGUGUGGAGGAGGGCCUUUAGCUUUUCUCAAUAGCGUUUCCUUGGGGUCCUUUCCAGGCAAGCAUGACCCUCUCUCAUUUUCUAGAUGAGAAAUCCCAGGGAUGAGCACUUAAAUGGUAUUUCUAAAUCAGAGUCAGGGCCUGCGUUUCAGAUGGAACCCACAGACUCUCCUGAGAGGCUCUGGAUGGGGCGGAUUUGGCAUGCAAAAAGUAGGCUCCUGGCCUGGCUCUGCCCUCACCAACUGGGUGAACCUGGGCAAAUCAUUUCCAGCCUGGACUGAUACCUGGACUGGUAGCAUCAGCAUCACCAGGGAGCUUGUCAAAAAUGCAAUGUUCUGCCCUCCUCUUGUCUUUCUGGAUCAGCUCAGGGGCUGCACCAAGCCCUCUAGGUGAGUGUGGGCCUGCUCAGGGUUGAGGUCCACUGCCCCACUGGAAGGGACAGGGGCCACUCAGCCCCAAGCUAGAUAGCCAGGUGGACAUCUGGGCCCAGGACUAGCAGAUCUUCCCCUUCUUCCAAAGAAGCUAGUGGUCCAGAUUAUUUUAAGAAAUGAGAUUUUAAAAUAUUGGUAACAAAGUCAAGACACCGUGUUGCCAAAAACAACAGAAGGAGUCUGUGGGCUGCCUUGGGUACCACGUCCUACAUUUGGGCUCCAUUCUGAUUUUGGUUUCAAGAGAUCAUAAGAGCUGGUCUAUAUCCCUAAAUAAGGAAUCCUCUUACCUCCUUAUGACCUGGGGUUAGGUCUUGGGACAAGCAACAGGGUCUUUCUGACCUCUCCUUUGGCCCCUGCAGCCUACCAGCCCUCUCAGUUGUGUUCACAUCAUGUAGCCUCUGCAGGAUUCUAAGCUCCUUGGGGACAGAGAGGGUCUUGCCAUGGCAAUUUGCUGCACAGCAUCUACCUCAGAUGUGAACACAUUUGUGGCUACACUUAAUGAAUGAAUUGAAUCAUCCCUCGCCAAUCUCCAGCACCGAAAUCACAAUUUGAAGCUUGGUAGGAAUUUUCAUGGGACUCAUCAUUCAGAUACUAUGGAUCCUGCAAUCAUCACCAGGCAAAUAUUUCCCAAGCAUAUCCUCUGUGCAGGCACCAAGCUCUGGGCUGGGAAAGAAAUGUGGACCUGAUGUGCUCCGGCCUCCAGGGGGCGUGGAUUUUAAGCCGGUGGUUUUCAAUCCCCUCCAACCCAGGGUUGGUGCACACUCUCAGCAAAAUAGUUUUCAGCAUGCAUCUCCAAUAUAUGUACAGUUUAAAACUGAUAAAUAAUAUGCAUAUGUACUGCUAUUUCAUUCUCUUUGUAAAUCUUUAAAUAAAAAUUAGGAAAUUUAAGGCCAGCUACGGUGGCUCACACCUGUAAUCCUAGCACUCUGGGAGCCCAAGGUGGGUGAAUAACUUGGGGUUAGGAGUACUAGACUGCCCUGGCCAACAUGGUGAAGCCCCAUUUCUACUAAAAACACAAAACAAAAAUUAGCCAGGCAUGGUGGCGUACACCUGUAAACAGCCCAGCUAGUGGGGAGGCUGAGGCAGGAGAACUGCUUGAACCCGGAAGGUGGAGAUUACAGAGAGCCGAGAUUGCACCACUGC